CUGCAAUGCUUUAGUGCAUUUCAAGUCAAUAGAACUUGUCCCGACUAGCUACAACACAUUUCAAACGAUUAAACAGAUUUCUUGAUAAAAUGAAUUUUUUAAAUAUUUUCCUUUUGGUUGCCGUUGCCCUUGCCAUAUUCGCCGGAGGAAGCGAAGCUAAACGCAACAGGGACUAUGCCAAGAAGGCUGGGAUGCAUGUGGGUGGAAAGGCCUUAGAAGGCAUAGGACCCGCAGUUGUAGAGAAAAUUUUCCAAGGUUAAUAUUUAUGAGCUUUAAAAACUUUCCUUUCAAAAAUUCAAUGAAAAAAUAAAUUACAUAUUACAAAUUGAUUCAUUACUCAAA
rnacentral:sRNA from 1 species